CCAAGUGCGAUCCAAAGACCCACCACGUGGAAAAUACUCAUCAGUACCACAGGGUAUCAAAGUGAAGUCAGUGACGUAGCAGUCGAGGAAUAGCACCCGUGCGUGCGCACCGAAUUUUGAAGCUCUGUGUGUCUGUGCUAAAACUCCAGGUUAAAACCCUGCGAUCGUCUGGGUAGUGCCAGGGAAAGCCUUGGUAGGCAACGAUUUGCAGUCGGCGACCCAAAACUUUCGUCGCAAGGAGCACGCCACGCCGCGGAAUUUGCUGGCGGCGGCCGCAAGUCCCGGUGGCAGCGGAGGCGGCGCAUAUCUGAUUCCUUAUUGGUCAGGCAUAUAGGAAAUACCCACCUAGAUCAGUCCCUAAACGUGCGCGGAACCGGACCAGGCUCAGACCAACGGUCGGCGAGGAGUCCAGGUGACAACCGGCAACGUGUGCGUGAUUGGGGCCGCAGAGUAUCAGGAGUCGGGUUAAAACCUUGGGUAAUAGGAGCCUAAAUGAGAACAUAACCUCAUUUUUCUGCGCUGAGCCAAAGUGCGCCGAAUCGUAUGGCAUCUAACAUCGUGAGAACAUAACCUCAACGCGACCAAGUAAAAGGCACCCUCGACUCUCUCGGCAGCAGUCAUCUCGAGAUUAACUACAACAACAAUGGAAUUCGCGAAUGGAAGCAGUGCCCGUAUCAGCACAUUUAAUUAAGUAGAAUUUAAUUCAUAAAAUUUAGUUUUAAUUUCCUUUGAAUCGAAGCAAUACUCAUACUCCUUUUUUCCAUAGAGCAUUAAUCAUUUAUUGGCCUCAUGUACAUCGAGAUCACCUAAUAUAAUUUGAAUUUAUCCACGCUCAUCAAAUCAUACAGCACUCCAGCCUACAGGCCUGCGGACUUCGAGGGAUUGGUUCGUGAGUACACAUAUAAACUCGAUCAGCUAAUCUAUGCCUCUAUAAAAAGAAACGUAUGAAUAUUAGCUUCAUGAAAGCGAUAGUUUGCUAGUUGUCAGUGCCGAGCGCACUUAUUAAUUACAUUUCUUUAUAUGAUAGUACCUUUUAAUUAACUUUUUGCUUCUUUUGAUAUUCACACAUUAUUUAAUUAGUAAUUAGAUUUGACAAGUAAACUUUAAUCACUUAGGAUUACGAGCGAUUAGGAGUAGGGCUUAGGUUUAAGUUGGAUGUAAGGAUAAGAAGAAAAAACAUGAAUUAUACAGUAAUUAAGUAAUUUGAGUGUGAAAUGAAGCACGAUUAAAAUGAAGUAAAGUUAUAUUUUAUGGGCACCUGA